UACGGAGGGUGCAAGCGUUAUCCGGAUUCACUGGGUUUAAAGGGUGCGUAGGUGGGCAGGUAAGUCAGUGGUGAAAUCUCUGGGCUUAACCCGGAAACUGCCAUUGAUACUAUUUGUCUUGAAUAUCGUGGAGGUCAGCGGAAUAUGUCAUGUAGCGGUGAAAUGCUUAGAUAUGACAUAGAACACCAAUUGCGAAGGCAGCUUACUACACAGUUAUUGACGCUGAGGCACGAAAGCGUGGGGAUCAAACAGG
rnacentral:rRNA from 1 species